GACGAACGCUGGCGGCGUGCUUAACACAUGCCAGUCGAACGGAAAGGCCCUGCUUUUGUGGGGUGCUCGAGUGGCGAACGGGUGAGUAACACGUGAGUAACCUGCCCUUGACUUUGGGAUAACUUCAGGAAACUGGAGCUAAUACCGGAUAGGAGCUCCUGCUGCAUGGUGGGGGUUGGAAAGUUUCGGCGGUUGGGGAUGGACUCGCGGCUUAUCAGCUUGUUGGUGGGGUAGUGGCUUACCAAGGCUUUGACGGGUAGCCGGCCUGAGAGGGUGACCGGCCACAUUGGGACUGAGAUACGGCCCAGACUCCUACGGGAGGCAGCAGUGGGGAAUAUUGCACAAUGGGCGGAAGCCUGAUGCAGCAACGCCGCGUGCGGGAUGACGGCCUUCGGGUUGUAAACCGCUUUCGCCUGUGACGAAGCGUGAGUGACGGUAAUGGGUAAAGAAGCACCGGCUAACUACGUG
rnacentral:rRNA from 1 species